rnacentral:rRNA from 1 species
UACGGGGGGGGCAAGCGUUGUUCGGAAUUACUGGGCGUAAAGGGCUCGUAGGCGGCCAACUAAGUCGGACGUGAAAUCCCCCGGCUCAACCUGGGAACUGCGUCCGAUACUGGAUGGCUUGAAUUCGGGAGAGGGAUGCAGAAUUCCAGGUGUAGCGGUGAAAUGCGUAGAUAUCUGGAGGAAUACCGGUGGCGAAGGCGGCAUCCUGGACCGACAUUGACGCUGAGGAGCGAAAGCUAGGGGAGCAAACGGG